AAGCUAUCAUAUAUUAAUUCUCUCCCACAUCCUCCUCUCUCCUGGAUUCUUAUCAGAUACCCCUCGUGUGCUCUCUUUUCCCUCCAUUAAUGCCCUCUUCGCUCUUCUCUGAAACUUGAACCUCCAUCACCCUUUCCCUUCUCUGUCAUAACUCUUUUCUUCCUUUAUAUAUAUGUGUGAAUGUUUUUCUAGCUAGCUGCCUCUUUCUCCUCUCAUGGCCCUUCUUUUCUCUUUCCUUUUCUGGGGUUCUCUCUCUGCUCUUAUCUUUAUCAUUCACAGGAAGUCUCAGUGCCAGAGGCUUCGUUUGCCGCCUGGGAACUUGGGUCUUCCCUUUCUUGGAGAGACUCUGCAGUUGAUAUCUGCAUACAAGACUGAAAACCCAGAGCCCUUCAUCGAUGAACGAGUGAACCGGUUCGGUCCGUUGUUUAUCACCCAUGUUUUUGGCGAACCAACUGUUUUCUCUGUAGACCCGGAGACGAACCGCUUCAUCCUUCAAAAUGAAGGGAAGUUGUUUGAAUCUAGCUACCCAAGUUCUAUAUCCAACUUGCUUGGAAAACAUUCUUUGUUGCUUAUGAAGGGUAUUCUCCAUAAAAGAAUGCAUUCUUUAACCAUGAGGUUUGCUAAUUCCUCCAUUAUCAAAGACCAUCUUUUGGUUGAUAUAGACCGGUUGGUUCGACUCAACUUGAAUUCCUGGACCGACCGGGUUCUUCUCAUGGAUGAGGCCAAGAAGAUAACAUUUGAGUUAAGCAUGAAACAACUAAUGAGUUUUGAUCCAGGAGAAUGGACAGAGAGUUUAAGGAAAGAGUAUAUGCUUGUUAUUGAAGGAUUCUUCACUUUGCCUUUGCCCAUCUUCUCCUCCACAUAUAAGAGAGCCAUCCAAGCAAGGACUAAGGUGGCAGAAGCUUUGAGCUUGAUUGUGAGGCAAAGAAGAAGAGAAAGUGAGGAAGGAGAGAGAAAAAAUGACAUGUUAGGAGCUCUUUUCGCUGCCGACGACGGCGGCUUCUCCGACGAGGAAAUAGUGGAUUUCUUGGUGGCUCUUCUUGUUGCUGGCUACGAAACCACCUCUACUAUAAUGACUCUUGCUGUUAAGUUCCUCACUGAGACUCCUCUUGCUUUGGCUCAGCUCAAGGAGGAGCAUGAGGGGAUUAGGGCAAAAAAAAAGUGAGGUAGAAUCACUUGAGUGGAGUGAUUACAAGUCUAUGCCUUUUACUCAAUGUGUUGUUAAUGAGACUUUGAGAGUAGCAAACAUAAUUAGUGGGGUAUUUAGAAGAGCAAUGACAGACAUCAAUAUUAAAGGUUACAAAAUACCUAAAGGAUGGAAGGUUUUUGCUUCAUUUCGAGCUGUACAUUUAGACCAUGAUCAUUUCAAAGAUGCUCGAACUUUCAAUCCAUGGAGAUGGCAGGUAAAUCUCUCCCCUCUUAUACACAUAAUUUUGCAUAUUUAUUAGAUUAACUAAUGAAUGUUUGAAAUGAAAAGAGCAACUCAGGGACAGUAAGUUCAGGGAAUGCGUUCACUCCAUUUGGAGGAGGACCAAGGUUAUGCCCAGGGUAUGAGCUUGCUAGGGUAGAACUCUCUGUUUUCCU
rnacentral:misc_RNA from 1 species